rnacentral:ncRNA from 1 species
CUUCUAUCAUAGCAAACUGCCGGUGACGGCAGGACGCAAAGCAACGGGGCUUUUUCUAUCAUCCCGCUCAUAAUUCCCUAUCCCCUGACGGGGGUUAGUGUGAGGGGGUGGAAGGGACAUCAAGCAAGUCGGGCUGCCGAG